AAGAGGUGAUCUGUAAUGUUACAAAUU
rnacentral:piRNA from 1 species